rnacentral:rRNA from 1 species
AUUGAACGCUGGCGGCAGGCCUAACACAUGCGAGUCGAGCGGAUGAAGGGAGCUUGCUCCUGGAUUCAGCGGCGGACGGGUGAGUAAUGCCUAGGAAUCUGCCUGGUAGUGGGGGAUAACGUCCGGAAACGGGCGCUAAUACCGCAUACGUCCUGAGGGAGAAAGCGGGGGAUCUUCGGACCUCACGCUAUCAGAUGAGCCUAGGUCGGAUUAGCUAGUUGGUGGGGUAAAGGCCUACCAAGGCGACGAUCCGUAACUGGUCUGAGAGGAUGAUCAGUCACACUGGAACUGAGACACGGUCCAGACUCCUACGGGAGGCAGCAGUGGGGAAUAUUGGACAAUGGGCGAAAGCCUGAUCCAGCCAUGCCGCGUGUGUGAAGAAGGUCUUCGGAUUGUAAAGCACUUUAAGUUGGGAGGAAGGGCAGUAAGUUAAUACCUUGCUGUUUUGACGUUACCAACAGAAUAAGCACCGGCUAACUUCGUG